rnacentral:lncRNA from 1 species
GGGUGCUGGGGGCUCUAAGCCCAACCCCGUCCGCGGGGCAGGAACCAGCCCCGAGCCCCCACCCCAGCGCCCGGCCCAACGCCACCAGGUAACGGCACCCCCGAGACCGGACGGAACCCCCCGGGAUAGGACACGGCACCCCCGGGACGGGACCUCCCCCAGAACGUGGCACCCCGGGACGGGACCGACACCCCCGCAGACAGGGCUUGGCCCGAGGCGGGACAUUCCCAACACAGGACACCCUCGUCCAGAACCCCCGCGCGGUCCCAGACACCCGCCUGGGCACCGGGACUUUUUUGUUCCUCGGUCCAGAACCCCAACUGCGAGCUAGGAGCCCUUCUCAGACCCGGGAUUGCCCCAAGAGCCCCCGGGACCAGGAUCGCGCACAGCCCGGGACCCCUCUCUGGGGAUCGGGGAACCCCCCGAGCUCGGAUUUUCCCCCGUCUUGGGUUCCCCGUGACCCGCCGUGUUCCCCCAGGCCGGUGUUCCCGGUAUUCCCGUGCGGGGGGGACCAUCGCGGGGAGUCGGGGUUCAUCGCCAGCGAGGGCUUCCCCCGGCAUUACCCCCCCGGCAGCAACUGCACCUGGACCAUCACGGUCCCCGAGGGCCAGGUGGCCACCCUCUCCUUCCGCAUCUUUGACCUGGAGCCGGACCCUCUGUGCCGCUUUGACGCCCUCUCGGUGUUCGGGGGCCACGGCCCUGGGGCGCCGCUUUUGGGGCGCUUCUGUGGCACCUUCCGCCCGGGGGCACUUCGGGCACCCCAAAACCGGCUCCGGCUGCACAUGGAGAGCGACGGCGGCACGGCUGGGAGGGGCUUCCUGGCCUGGUUCAGCGCCGGCAGCCCCCCGACCAACGGUGGGUGAGAGAGGGCCUGGCGGGGAGACCCCCCAAAAAAAAAACCAAGGGGGAGGGAGCACCGCCGGCGAGGAGUAGGGACAAUCCCACAGGGACACCCCCAAACCCACCCAAAGAGAUCCCUGGAAAUGUGGACGACUCCAAAACCUUAUAGCAACAACCCCAAAGUCUUGUAGAAACCCCAAAAUCCCCCAAAUCCCCAAGGAGACCCCAAAAACCGUGUGGGCUGAGAGGCCAAAACCCCUUCCAGGAGGUCCUGGGGGUCCUGGAAUGAGAUGGAAAAAGAGAGAAAAGCUGCUGAGGGCAGAGCAACUGUGAAGUUAGAAAAAGUGUGGAAGAAAACAGUGGGAAAUGAGGAGAAAGUGUGACUGGAAAAGGAGGUAAACGUGUGAAACUGAAAACAGAAGGGGAAAAACCCUGAUGGAAAAAUGGGGGGGAAAUGUAAGAGGGAAAAAAAAAAAGAGGGAAAUUAAUGAAAAGUGUGAGGAAAAAAUGGAAAAGGGUGGAGAGAAAAUGAGAGGAAAGUGUAAGGAGAAAACAAGGAAACAAGGCAAAAGUGCAAGGGAAGAAAGGAGGGGAAAGCUGAGGAGAAAAAGAGGGGAAAGUGUGACGGGAUAUGGAGAAAAAUAAGAGGAAAAGAAAAAACUAGCAUGGAAAACUGAAAAGAAAAAAUAAUUCAAAACAAAAAAUAACAAAAAAAAAACCAAAACCAAAACAAAACAAAAAGCAAAACAACAGAGGGAAGAAUGAAAAGAAAGGAAAAGUUUGAGGGAAAAGCCAGACGGAAAAAUGGAGCAAAGUGUCAGAAAAAAAUGAAGGAAACUGGCACAAAAUGGAGGCAAAAGCUGAAGGGAAAAGGGGGACAGGGAGCAGAGCUGAUGGAGAGCAGGAGAUCCCCAACACCCCUGUGGACACCCCCCAAAUCCACAUGGAGAACCCCCAAAGCCACAUGGAACAUCCCAACCCCCCAGUCCAUCAAGGAACCCCCCCCAAAAUCCCUUGGAAACCCCCAUGGAGGCCCCUGAAAGCACCCGAACC